rnacentral:rRNA from 1 species
AUGGAUUCCGCGCUCUCCUCCCCUACCUUCGGUGGCCUCGCCGCGCUCCUCUCCUCCUUCCCGCGGCGAACUUGCAAAAAGAUCGACGCCGACAAGCUCACCAAGGAGGACGUCGAUAUGCGACUCAAGUGGCUCGGCCUCUUCCUCAGCCGCAAGCAGCAGUGUAUGCCCCUGCUCUGUCAAGCAACCAACCGCUUUGCUUCAGUUGCUGCAUGCUUAGUACAGCAGCNNNNNNNNNNGCACUCGGCCGUUCCACUGCAGCAGCAACUACUCCAGCAUUCAGUAUUGAGCUUCAUUGGUAUUCAGCUUUACAAUCAAGUUCUCUUUAAUUCAGCAGCAGCAACAACAGAGGCGGGGGCGGGGAAUACCAGCACCAACAGAGGCGAGGGCGGGCGCGACCUUCGGAGGAGGGCCAGCACGGAGAGGAAGACCCUGGGCUUGGAGGAGAGGUUGAGCAGGGCCAAUGCGGCGAUGAAGACCCUGGGCCAGAGCAGCGACGAAGACCCAGCGCCGCGACGGCGUCCAAAAUUGUCCGCGGCGACGGCGGCCAAGGCGGACCAAAUCGAGGACCUAGUCGUCGAUUUACUGCUUCUUGGCACGAUUCAGAGGGAGGUGACGAAGAGGAAGAACUUUAGGAGCAAUCCCGCUGCUCAGGUAGGCGAGGGCACACCCAUGGCGGCUACGCAGCUGGGCGGCGGCGCAAGGCGCCUCCGUGAAGGUCCUGCGCGUCUCCUCCGCGACGACGCAGGUCGUCUCCUGCACAGGCGGCUGGGUCCUGGGUCCUGCGACGCGCGGAGACUCUCUCUGGGUGCUGAGGAGAACGGGGGAGGAAGACGGGGGAUAGUGGCCGGAGCCGGCGACGCGUGA